ACUAGCAUUAAUGCCAAAACCACGGUAUUACCCCGGUCAGGGCUACAAUAGUGACAGAUAAUCUGACACCUUCACAUGUGAAAAUGUAUGAUGAAGGCUUGACUGGUUAGAAGAGUGACAUUGUCUCAUUGGGGUCAGAGGAUCUUAAAAGGAGAUGGACAAGUUGUAUAGAGAAAUAACUCCCCAGUCCAAAAGGAUCAAUGCAGAUAUAGUAAAGAGCUGAACCACAGUUAGGUGUGGCUGGGUCAUGUACAGCCGAUUGUAAGAGCUGAGCCACAGUUAGGUGUGGCUGGGCCAUGUACUGUACAGCCGAUUGUAAAAGCUGAGCCACAGUUAGGUGUGGCUGGGCCAUGUACAGCCGAUUGUAAAAGCUGAGCCACAGUUAGGUGUGGCUGGGCCAUGUACAGCCGAUUGUAAGAGCUGAGCCACAGUUAGGUGUGGCUGGGUCAUGUACAGCCGAUUGUAAGAGCUGAGCCACAGUUAGGUGUGGCUGGGCCAUGUACUGUACAGCCGAUUGUAAAAGCUGAGCCACAGUUAGGUGUGGCUGGGCCAUGUACAGCCGAUUGUAAAAGCUGAGCCACAGUUAGGUGUGGCUGGGCCAUGUACAGCCGAUUGUAAGAGCUGAGCCACAGUUAGGUGUGGCUGGGCCAUGUACAGCCGAUUGUAAGAGCUGAGCCACAGUUAGGUGUGGCUGGGCCAUGUACAGCCAAUUGUAAGAGCUGAGCCACAGUUAGGUGUGGCUGGGCCAUGAACUGUACAGCCGAUUGUAAGAGCUGAACCACAGUUAGGUGUGGCUGGGCCAUGAACUGUACAGCCGAUUGUAAGAGCUGAGCCACAGUUAGGUGUGGCUGGGCCAUGUACAGCCGGUUGUAAGAGCUGAGCCACAGUUAGGUGUGGCUGGGCCAUGUACUGUACAGCCGAUUGUAAGAGCUGGGCCACAGUUAGGUGUGGCUGGGCCAUGUACAGCCGAUUGUAAGAGCUGAACCACAGUUAGGUGUGGCUGGGCCAUGUACAGCCGAUUGUAAGAGCUGAGGCACAGUUAGGUGUGGCUGGGUCAUGUACAGCCAAUUGUAAGAGCUGAACCACAGUUAGGUGUGGCUGGGCCAUGUACAGCCGAUUGUAAGAGCUGAUCCACAGUUAGGUGUGGCUGGGCCAUGUACAGCCGAUUGUAAGAGCUGAGGCACAGGUUGGUAGCUGUUUGUGACAGGAGAUGGAGCAGUGGCCCCAGUUUAAUUUUCCUCCCAUUUGAUUAAAGUCUUGGAAAUAAUCAUCACUGCUCUGGCUUAUUUUCACCCCAAAAUUGGACGGAGUCUUGCUUUGAUCAUGCUGCUUUUAUCUGCGUUGAUUUCAGUGUGCCAUUAAGAGAUCCCUUCAUGCUAUGCUGAGCUCUUAAGGAUGCUUAGCUUUUGGGGGGCUAUUUAUUUUUAAAGGCCAGAUUCUCAGGCAAAAGAAAAUCAUAAAAAAACAAAACUAGCUGCACUGAAGAAAGUCAGGUUCAAGCUUUGGUCUUUGAUCUUUGGAACAUUAAAGAGUUUGGUGGAGGAUCAGCUCCGAAACAGGAAAGGAAGAAGACAGAUUGUGUUUGCUUAGAGGUUUUUAUGGUGGUGUAUGUUGAAGAGGACAUGAAGUGGAAACAGUGCGUUUCCCUGCGGUGAGGUAUCAUGUUUGCAGGAAUAUACAGAAUUAAUGAGUUUUUUUCUUUAUCUUUGUAAAUGUGUUUACAGUCAUAAAAUUCAUAUUACUUUGUUAUAGUCAGAUGUAUAAUGUUACUUUUAUGAACUGCUGCUCAGAUAUGGAGAAAA